CCUACGGGAGGCAGCAGUGGGGAAUCUUGCGCAAUGGGCGAAAGCCUGACGCAGCCAUGCCGCGUGAAUGAUGAAGGUCUUAGGAUUGUAAAAUUCUUUCACCGGGGACGAUAAUGACGGUACCCGGAGAAGAAGCCCCGGCUAACUUCGUGCCAGCAGCCGCGGUAAUACGAAGGGGGCUAGCGUUGCUCGGAAUUACUGGGCGUAAAGGGAGCGUAGGCGGAUAGUUUAGUCAGAGGUGAAAGCCCAGGGCUCAACCUUGGAAUUGCCUUUGAUACUGGCUAUCUUGAGUACGGAAGAGGUAUGUGGAACUCCGAGUGUAGAGGUGAAAUUCGUAGAUAUUCGGAAGAACACCAGUGGCGAAGGCGACAUACUGGUCCGUUACUGACGCUGAGGCUCGAAAGCGUGGGGAGCAAACAGGAUUAGAUACCCUGGUAGUCCACGCUGUAAACGAUGAGUGNUAGUUGUCGGCAUGCAUGCAUGUUCGGGUUGGACGCGAGCUAACCGCAUUAAGUACACCUCCGCCGUCGGGGAGGUACGGUCGCGAAGAAUUAAACUAACUAAAUUAGAAGUUAGUUACGGCGUGAGACGUUGCCGACGGACGACGACGAGGGGAGGAGG
rnacentral:rRNA from 1 species